ensembl:lncRNA
CUGUAGCCCACCAGGAUUCUCUGUCCAUGGGGAUUCGACAGUUAAAGUUGCAGGUAUUGUCCCUUGGAUCCAUCAUACGAGGGUGAAGAGAACAUACCAUGCAGACCCAAAAAAUGCUGAGUGGACAGCACCGAGGGACCCUGCUGACCCUCGAGGGACUAAGACCAUCCUUAAGAAGAAGGAAAAGAAGAUCCUGGACGAGCCCCUUCAGGAUGAAGCCGCACAAUCAACUCCUGCUGCUUGGCCUCAUCAACAUGAUUUUGAAUUGAACUUCUGUUUCAACUCAGGACAAUGUUUUCAUCUCA